GAGAAGACUUUAGAUAUGAUCCAGAGUACCACGGGACACGUGAAACCCUGUGGGAAGCAGGAGGGACCACCCUCCAAGGCUAAAUACUACCUAGUGACCGAUAGCGUAUAGUACCGUGAGGGAAAGGGGAAAAGAACCCCGGGAGGGGAGUGAAAUAGAACCUGAAACCCUGCACUUACAAGCUGUGGAAGCACAUUUCUUGUGUGACCGCGUACUUUUUGUAGAACGGGCCAACGAGUUACGUUAAGUAGCAAGGUUAAGCACUUAAGGUGCGGAGCCGUAGCGAAAGCGAGUUUUAACUGAGCGUUCAGUUACUUGACGUAGACCCGAAACCGGGCGACCUACCCAUGAGCAGGA
rnacentral:rRNA from 1 species